rnacentral:misc_RNA from 1 species
GAUGAAGAACGUAGCGAAAUGCGAUAAGUAAUGCGAAUUGCAGAAUUUCCGUGAGUCAUCGAAUCUUUGAACGCACAUUGCGCCCCUUGGUAUUCCAUGGGGCAUGCCUGUUCGAGCGUCAUUUGUACCUUCAAGCUCUGCUUGGUGUUGGGUGUUUGUCUCGCCUCUGCGUGUAGACUCGCCUUAAAACAAUUGGCAGCCGGCGUAUUGAUUUCGGAGCGCAGUACAUCUCGCGCUUUGCACUCAUAACGACGACGUCCAAAAGUACAUUUUUACACUCUUGACCUCGGAUCAGGUAGGGAUACCCGCUGAACUUAAGCAUAUCAAUAAGCGGAGGA